AGAGUUCGAUUAUGGCUCAGGACAAACGCUGGCGGCACGCCUAACACAUGCAAGUCGAGCGGAGAUUAAGAGCUUGCUCUUAUGAUCAGCGGCGGACGGGUGAGUAACACGUGAGCAACCUGCCUUUCAGAGGGGGACAACAGUUGGAAACGACUGCUAAUACCGCAUAACAUGUUCGGAUGGCAUCGUCUGAACAUCAAAGGAGCAAUCCGCUGAAAGAUGGGCUCGCGUCUGAUUAGAUAGUUGGUGAGGUAACGGCUCACCAAGUCGACGAUCAGUAGCUGGACUGAGAGGUUGAUCGGCCACAUUGGGACUGAGACACGGCCCAG
rnacentral:rRNA from 1 species